rnacentral:rRNA from 1 species
CCGGUAGUGGGGGAUAACCUGAGGAAACUCAGGCUAAUACCGCAUACGCCCUACGGGGGAAAGCAGGGGCUCUUCGGACCUUGCGCUAUCGGAUGAGCCUAUGUCGGAUUAGCUGGUUGGUGAGGUAAUGGCUCACCAAGGCGACGAUCCGUAGCUGGUCUGAGAGGAUGAUCAGCCACAUCGGGACUGAGACACGGCCCGAACUCCUACGGGAGGCAGCAGUGGGGAAUAUUGGACAAUGGGCGGAAGCCUGAUCCAGCCAUGCCGCGUGUGUGAAGAAGGCCCUCGGGUUGUAAAGCACUUUCAGUGAGGAAGAAGGCCUUCGGGUUAAUACCCCGGAGGAAGGACAUCACCCACAGCGGG